CCUGACAGUCGAACACUGAAUGACUGACAGCUGUCCUUCAUCACAACUGAAGACAAAGAAAUCCUCUUCAUCAAAAACAUGACUUUGAUCUGCGUCCUCAUCUGGACUCUCCUCUGCUGCUGCUUCACAGAGGUCAGAGGUCAGGUCACAGUGACUCAACAGCCUGAAGCAAUGAGAGCUAAUCUGGGAGGAUCUGCCACCAUCAGAUGUAAAACCAGUCAGAAUAUUUAUAGCAACUAUUUCUCCUGGUUCCAACAGAAAGAUGGACAAACUCCUAAGCUCCUCAUUUAUUAUAUCAACUCUCGAGCAUCAGGGAUUCCAAGUCGUUUCUCAGGCAGUGGAUCAAACUCUGACUUCACUCUGACCAUCAGUGGAGUUCAGGCUGAAGAUGCUGCAGUUUAUUACUGUAUGGGUCAAUUCUACAUCAGCAGCAAGCAUUCAUUCACACAGUGAAAA